GACGAACGCUGGCGGCGUGCUUAACACAUGCAAGUCGAGCGGUAAGGCCCUUUCGGGGGUACACGAGCGGCGAACGGGUGAGUAACACGUGGGUGACCUGCCUUUAGCUCUGGGAUAAGCCUGGGAAACCGGGUCUAAUACCGGAUAUGACUCCGCGGCGCAUGUUGUGGGGUGGAAAGCCUUGUGCGGCUGGAGAUGGGCCCGCGGCCUAUCAGCUUGUUGGUGGGGUGAUGGCCUACCAAGGCGACGACGGGUAGCCGGCCUGAGAGGGCGACCGGCCACACUGGGACUGAGACACGGCCCAGACUCCUACGGGAGGCAGCAGUGGGGAAUCUUGCGCAAUGGGCGAAAGCCUGACGCAGCGACGCCGCGUGAGGGAUGACGGCCUCGGUUGUAACU
rnacentral:rRNA from 1 species